rnacentral:lncRNA from 1 species
AGACCAAUCCACAUCAACCAAAUCAAUUCAACAUAUUUUCAUGAUAGAUUCAUGCAUUUAUAUAAGAUAACGUCAUCACAUAUCUAUAACCAGGUUUGUUAACCAUACUAAUGGCUUACUUUACAUUCAUUUCACGUUAACAUUUACUUUGUUAGCUUAUACAUGCCAUUGAUUUCCAAAAUAAAGUUUCUUUAUAUGCCGAAAUCCUGAGGUUGACAGUGUGAUGUGUCUCCGACCAAAUCCGACCUCCGAGCUCUUAACACUAUAAAACAGGGAAAAAGGAAACGGGUAAGCACUUUGUGCUUAGUAAGCUCAUGUAACAAGAAUUAUACUUACCUAAUAUUUUCAAUACAAUAUAAUAAACAUUCAUAUAUCCAUUCAAUGCAUUAUUACCCUAACAUGCACAAACUCAACAUUCAAGUUAGUACAAUAAUUUCCAUGUAUCAAUAAUAUAUAUACCAUGAUUGAUGAGCUCGUCAAUACCAUGAUUUCCAUUUCCUUGUUAUUUUUUCAUAUUUAUCCCGUUGAAUUUAUCGGAAUUUUCAUGGAUUUUCAGAGGUACACUUUUAGUGUACAAUUCCGGGUCCGUCAAUUCAUAUUCAUGUGCGCACAUUUCCAUUUCAGAGAGCACACUCCCGCGAACCUCAACCUUGCAGCGGGAUUACCAGUCCAGGCUAAAUCCCCUGCAAUAUAAACUCAUAGAGUAUUGUCGGGAUUACCAGUCUAGGUUAAAUCCCCUGCAACGACAAUUACUCUAAUGAGCUUAGAUCUGAAUUACCAGUCCAGGCUAAAUUCAGACCCUAAUUCGGAUUACCCGUCCGGGCUAAAUCCAUUUUACACAUAUUCUUCGGGAGGGCUAUAUCAGGAUAGGAUCACCCGUCCGGGCUAGAUCCUUUUUACCGUCAAUUCCUUUUCAGAGAUCCAUCGAAUUUUCCUUUCAUUCAAUCGGGAUUUCUUCCCAUUUUAUCAAAUAUAUCAAUGUUUCAUUAAUUUUCAUACAAUGAACACUCAAAUCAUAUUCACAUCAAUAGCAUACAAUCUCAAGCAUUUAAGAAUAUAAUUCAAGUUACACGAACUUACCUUGAUACUUGUUUGUAAACAGUAAAAAUCUACUAAUCCCGAACUUUUUCCUUUCCUCGAUCUAGCUUCGUAUUUGAAUCUUCUAGAUCUAAAUAAAUAAAUUUAAUUAUCAAUUUAAUACAUUUCAUGUUCAUAUGCAACAUUCUCUAUAAUUCAACUAUUAUUUAUAGUUCAUUCAAAGCUGUCUACUUGAGUCAUAGUCACUAAAUUAUUUAUAACUUGAGCUACGAAACUCAAAAUUAAGAUCCAUUAAUUUUCUCUGAAACUAGACUCAUAUAUAUUUUUACCAUAAAGUUUUCAGAAUUUUUGGUUUAGCCAAUCAGUACAGUUUAUUCUUCAAAGUCACCCCUGUUCUGUUGUCUAACAGUUCUGACCCUUCUUCACUAAAAAUAAAUUAUCUCUUUAUACAGAAUUCAAAUGAUGUUCUCGUUUAUUUCUAUUAAAAAUAGACUCAUUCAUAAUUCUAGACAUGUAAAUUUAAGUCCCUAAUUUUUUUAAUUCAAUUUUUUUAUAAUUUUUCAAAAUCAGAACAGGGGAACCCGAAUUCAUUCUGACCUUGUCUCACAUAAUUCAUUAUAUCUCAAAAUUUACAAAUCCAUUGCUUACAAUAUGUCUUCCAUGAGAAACUAGACUCAAUAAGCUUUAAUUUCAUAUUUUGUUCAUCUUCUAAUCCGAUUCCUACAAUUUUUGGUGAUUUUUCAAAGUUAGUCUACUGCUGCUGUCCAAACUGUUUUAGUGCAAGCUGUUUAUUACCAUUUUUCCCCUAAGCUUUUAAUAAAUGAUAAUUUCGUCCCUACUCAAUUAGCCUCUCAAUUGAGCUGAUUUUUCUCAAUUAACAUUUUAUUCUAUCACCUUAAACUAGUUUACAACCUUUAGGAAUCAUAAUUUCAGCAAUAGACUUUAAUUCCAAACAUUUUCACAAUUAGUUCCUAAAAAUCAAUUUCCAUUGAAAUUGCCUAAUAAAAUCAUCUCAUAAACAAAUUAAAGCUUUAAUUUCAUUCUAUUUCAUCAUAAACUUACAGCACUCAACCAUGGUGACUUUCAAUUUCAUCCAUGAAAUCAAAAACUAAUGAAUUUAAUAGUAGGACCUAGUUGUAAAAGUCUUAGAAACACAAAAAUUACAAGAAAAAGGUAAGGAUUAACUCACUUGGUGCAAAAAUUAUGAAAUAUCAGCUUAGAGAACCCUCCUAUGGCGUUUUUAGCUGCUGGAAUUGAAGAGAAAUGAAGAGAAAUCUAGAUAUUUCCUAUUUAGUCCUAGUUUUAUUUAGUUAAUUUUGUAAUAUUCCAAUUUUACCCUUAAUUUAUCAAUUUUUCUGCUGAUUUCAUACCCUUGCCGUCCAGCCCAAAUAACUUUUGGGUCUAAUUGUCUUUUAAAUCCUUUCUCAUUAGACUCUUAAGCUAUUUAAUCACUCUAGCAACUUUUACACCUAUUACAAUUUAGUUCUUUUUAUUUAAUUGACUACCUAAACAUUAAAAUUUCCUAACGAAAUUUUAAUACCACACUAAUAACAUUUCAUAAAUAUUUAUGAAAUUAUUUUAACUCGGUUUUAUGAGAUAGAGGUCUCGAUACCUUGUUUUUACCCAAUUUCUUCAAUAAUUUCUUUUUCUAUCUAAUCACUAAAUUGGUAAAAUUUUUCUAUCAAUAUUUUCAUACAAUUUUCCUAUCAUAUCAAUUUUCAAGCAAAAAUAUUGAAAUAAAUUUCUCUUUAAAUCGGAUCUAUGGUUACGAAACCAUUGUUCCGAUAACCUUGAAUUUAGGCCAUUACAAUAUAUUUAUACUUCUUCUUCUCUAUCCCAAGAAUCUCGCUAUCGACACCUCCGCUACAACCAUCUUUGACGUCACCAUCAUUGACCUCCAAACCACCACUCUAUCCUUUUUUUUCUUUUUCAACCCACCCAAUAGAUGAGCCACCACCAUUGGGAUCCGACUCUCUUUUUCUGUUGCCCAAAGGUAUUAACUCUGAAAAAAUCAUAUCGAAAUGGGAUUGGAGACAAUUUGGGGUCAAACUAUUAGUCCCCACAACCAAAUCGGUGAGAAGAAAAUCCUUCAAAGCAACAUUAGCAAGUCUAGGAUUGAUAUGGUAUAAACAAAAGGGUUGUCGAUUAAACUAAACAACACUAACUCCAUUGCCAACAUUAUCAAGUUGCAUAAAAUAAAGUUAGAAGCAAAACAAUGGGAACAUUAAGACAAACCAAACAACCGAUUGAACCAACGAUUUUCAGGAACAAAGGAAGUGGUUCCUCUAAAGGGACAGCCAAAUGCCGACAAGUGAAAUUUUGGGUCGAGUCAAUGAUUAGCAAGAUCCCAAAGUCGAAAUUGAACUAGGUGUUGUAGCAAAGGAGGAUGAGAGAUGGAUCAGAAGAAAAGCGACAGAGAUGGUUGAUGACGAAAAUUGGGGUCGAGGUGAGGUAAGCCCAAUUCUUGGAAAGAGAUUUGAAUUGGGUCACAGACCUAAGGGGCAAUCUGGAAAGGAUAUCGAUGCAAUUGAAAAAUCAGUCAAGCUAUAAGGCUAUGCAAAGAGAUAUAAUAAUUUUUUAUAUAUGCUAUAAGGCUACACAAAGAGAUAAAAGAUUAUGAUAAUUUUUAUAUUUAAAAAUGUAACGAUGAAGUCAAGCUUAUGUUUGUUUGUAGGGUAAUUAUUUGAUACACUAUUUGUAAAAAAAUUUAAACUUCACAAGUGGAUUAAGAGUAUUACAAAUGCUACAUUUAUUUAUAUAUUUUUUUAUUUUUUAUUACACCUUAAAAUAUACUUCUCAAAUCCUCAACUUGCUUGUAGAGUUUAAAACAAUCUACGCAUGAUAUAUGAAAUAAAUUUCCUUAUUUGUAACUUCGGUAACUUCAAACUUUGUUUUUUUAAAAUAAUCUAUGUAAUAAAAUAUAUAUAUAUAAACAUGAGUUUAAAGAAAUAUUUAAAUUAAUAUAUCAAUAUUUUUAAGUAUUAUUAUUUUAAAUAAUAUUAUUUUACAUUAAAUAAAAUUAUAUAAUUUAAUAAACUUAAAUAUAUAAAAUAAUGUGCAAGAGAUAUACACUCCAACACUUCAAAUGUUUCCUUGUAACGCGAACCAUACUGAUCCACACUGAAAUCAUUGUCACAUAAAAGGUUGAAUUAAUUUUUUUUAGUAAAUGAUGAUUUUUUGGGUACUAAUUUUUAGGCUAACGGAAGUUUUUUCGUUGAUGAAUUUUUUGGGUAAAUAUUUUUUUCGAAUUCCUUUUGUUCAUUUUGAUAAGUAAAUAAUUUUUUGUUAUGCUUUACUUAAUUUUGAAAAAUAAAAAGAAAAAGAAAAUAUUAAAUAAAAAACUGAAAAAAAGGAAAAUUUUCAAUUUAUAUAAUUUGGGGAAGAAAUAUAUAUUUUUUAAAAUAAUUUUGUAUAUUUUUAUUUUUAAAAGUAAAAUAUUUAAAAUUUCUCCAGUGAUUAUCCAAUCCAAUUUCAUGGAAGCUGAUACUAAACAUAUCCCAGGAAAGAGAGCAGCUGAAUCCAAUCACUUUUGCAGACAAAUACAGAUACAAAAAGCAUAGAUAAAUCACCUGUGCUCAUUCUCAUCUAGCACCUCUACUCCGUUAACCAAAAUCUACACGUCUCCUCUAAAAGCAGCCGUCUGAUGUUCACGCCCCAUCCUGAUUAGAUUCUCUCAGAAUUAUUUCGAAACCUGUUCACACCAACAAUCCUGGAACCAAUACUGAAAGCCACGUCACCCCGAGAAGAAGCAUGGCAAAGUUGUAAUAUAAGGGAAUAUAAAGGGCAAACUGGCAAACCAAAAUUAUGUUUUGUUUAUGUUAUAUGUGUCAGCGGACGCCAAACAAAUUCAAAUUCAGCAGAAUCUUUUUAUUUUAUUUUAUUUUUCUUAUGUUUAUUUUUUUCGAAGACCGAAAAAACACAGUGCAGAGAGGACCAUUUUUUUUUUCUCUUUUUCUUUCGUCCCAAUCAUGUUAGAUUUUCUCUCACUAAUAUAGUACAUUUAAUUUUAAUUAAUUUUUGUUUACUAUAAUAAUUACUAAUUUUUCUCGAGAGAAAAGGAAGUAGAAGUGUAUAAGGAAGAAAUAUCUCUUUUUUAAAUAUUUAGUAUAAGAGCCUUCAAUGAAAUUAUCCCUUUUUCGGAUUUAAUACUAUCUCGUAAUUGUUAUUGCAUAUUAUUCUUAUUUUGUAAUGGAUAGUGGAAGGGAUCUCAACUGAAGCUUUGAUACAUUAUUUAUAUUUUAUUCAUUAAAGCUAAAUGUGAUUAAACUGGAAACACAAAAAAUGAUCCAACAAAUAAGGAAUGAGUUGGGAAUACCAAUCUCUUUUUCACCUUUUAUCACUCACUGUUUUAAUUGAGUUUAAUAGCUAAACCAAAAGCAGUAUUAUUCAGAAUCAGGAAGAGAUUCGUGUCUCCAAACUUACCUCAAUUACAAUAAAUCAUCACUGUUUAUGAGCUGCUGCUGCUACUACUUUAAAAUAAAUGGAACUUCAACUGAAGCAAAGACAGAAAGUAAAAGCAGGUUUUUUUUUUUUCAAAAAAAGAGACACCACGGCAGAGCUGCUGCUGCUGCUACUUUAAAAUAAAUGGAAUUUCAACAGAAGCAAAAACACAAAGUAAAAGCAGGUUUUUUUUUUGGGCAAAUAAAAGAGAAUGGGAUUCAAGAAAAAGAAAAUAGGAGGUAGCUUCUUCUUUUUCUGUUAAAAGGAGAGUGGAAAUCAAAGUGAAGGAAAUGUGAGAAAUUAAGUAGAAAUUAAAGAAGAGAAAAGAUUUUAAUAUUUCCUGUAGAGAAAAAAAGAUGGUGAGAAGGGUUGCAGUGGGAAUCUUAAACAGAGAUGAGAAAAUGCAGAGCAAAGAGACAAGGAACACAAAGGGCCCUCAAAUAGCUGGAUUGAUCACAAUUAUU